rnacentral:rRNA from 1 species
GACGAACCGAGCGAACGUUAUUCGGAAUCACUGGGCUUAAAGGGCGCGUAGGCGGACCGUCAAGUCAGGGGUGAAAGCCCGCGGCUCAACCGCGGAAGUGCCUUUGAUACUGGCGGCCUCGAGGGAGGUAGGGGCGUGCGGAACUUCCGGUGGAGCGGUGAAAUGCGUAGAUAUCGGAAGGAACACCGGUGGCGAAAGCGGCGCGCUGGACCUCUUCUGACGCUGAGGCGCGAAAGCGUGGGGAGCAAACAGG